rnacentral:rRNA from 1 species
CGGAUUUUCCUUUGUAGCGGUGAAAAUGUGUAGAUAUGUGGACGGAACACCAGUUGGCGAAAGGCGGCUCUGUUGGUCUGUAACUGACGCUGAGGCGCGAAAGCAUGGGUAGCGAACAGGAUUAGAUACCCUGGUAGUCCAUGCCGUAAACGUUGAGUGCUAGGUGUUAGGGGGUCCAACCCUUAGUGCUGCAGUUAAUGCAAUAAGCACUCCGCCUGGGGAGUACGGCCGCAAGGCUGAAACUCAAAGGAAUUGACGGGGGCCUGCACAAGCGGUGGAGCAUGUGGUUUAAUUUGACGCAACGCGAAGAACCUUACCAGGUCUUGACAUCUUCGGACAGCCCAAGAGAUUGGGUCUUCCCUUCGGGGACCGAAUGACAGGUGGUGCAUGGUUGUCGUCAGCUCGUGUCGUGAGAUGUUGGGUUAAGUCCCGUAACGAGCGCAACCCCUGAUCUUAGUUGCCAGCAUUGAGUUGGGCACUCUAGGAUGACUGCCGGUGACAAACCGGAGGAAGGCGGGGAUGACGUCAAAUCAUCAUGCCCCUUAUGACCUGGGCUACACACGUGCUACAAUGGAUGGUACAAAGGGAAGCCAAACCGCGAGGUCGAGCUAAUCCCAUAAAGCCAUUCUCAGUUCGGAUUGUAGGCUGCAACUCGCCUGCAUGAAGCCGGAAUCGCUAGUAAUCGCGGAUCAGAAUGCCGCGGUGAAUACGUUCCCAGGCCUUGUACACACCGCCCGUCACACCACGAGAGUUGGCAACACCCGAAGUCCGGUUAGGGUAACGAUACACGGAGCACAGCCACCGUAUAGUGUGCCAAAAUUCGC